GUAAUGAAAUAAUUAGGGCUGCAAAAAAAACCCAGACCCAAUAUCGAAAUCGAUACCCGGAUAAAAAUAAUCGGGUUGAAGCGGAUUAGACGAAUAGGAAGUUACCUUAUUAGGUAU
rnacentral:sRNA from 1 species